rnacentral:rRNA from 1 species
CGGUAAACAAAGGGAAGCGAACAUGUGAGUGCAAGCGAAUCCCAAAAAUAACGUCUCAGUUCGGAUUGUAGUCUGCAACUCGACUACAUGAAGCUGGAAUCGCUAGUAAUCGCGAAUCAGAAUGUCGCGGUGAAUACGUUCCCGGGUCUUGUACACACCGCCCGUCACACCAUGGGAGUCAGUAACGCCCGAAGCCGGUGACCUAACCGAAAGGGAGGAGCCGUCGAAGGUGGGACCGAUAACUGGGGUGAAGUCGUAACAAGGUAUC